rnacentral:misc_RNA from 1 species
UGUGCGAAGCCUCGCCGCAUCCCCUCCAAGCAACUUCACUGUUGUCCCCGUAUUCUCUUCUUCGUCGUUCGCGGCCCUCGGCUAGGCAGUGCCAUCAUGACCGGUGUCUCGGCUAGCAUACAGAGCGUGGUGGUGGACGUUGGCACGCGCAACACUCGUGUAGGCUUCAGCGGUGAGGAGGCACCUCGUACGAUGCUCCGCAGCUGCGUAGGGCUUCCUGGCACGAGGCGGCCGCGCCCAACGCUCCUCCAGCACCCAUUCGACAUUGCAACUGGCGAUGCAGCCUACAACGACGGCGGCCUUCUGUCGCUCACGUACCCUGUGAGAGCAGGCCACGUGUAUGACUACGACGCACUCGAGAAGCUUCUGUUUUAUGCACUCGUGGAAGAGGCCCGCGUCACGCCGGACGCAUCGCCGUUUCUCUUUCUGGAGCCCGCUGAUCAGUCGCGACUCGCCCGAGAGCGCCUCUGCGAGCUGCUGUUCGAGUCCUUUAACAUUCCCCUCGCAGGGCUGCUGACGAACACGGCGGCCACACUCUACUCGAGUGGGCGCACGAGAGGGUUGGCGCUUGACAGUGGCGCCGGCCGCACCUGCGUUGCAGCAGUAGAGGAAGGGUACACCUUAGCACACUCGGUGCGGUCGUCCUCUAUUGCGGGCGAGGCGCUGACCGAUGAGCUCUUUGCCGCGCUGCGAGCAGGUGGGUACCCGCUCUCCACCGCCGCUGACCGCGACGUUGUGGAAGCCGCGAAGGAAGCGCUGUGCCGCGUAUCCGCCGACGCGAAGGACGAGGAGGCUAGGCAGGUCGGCACGCACUCCCAUCCAGACCCCGCCGACGGGUUCAUCCUGCCCGAUCAGGAGCGCAUUUUCCUCCUCGAGCACGCCUACAAAGUUCCUGAGGCGCUGUUCGACAGCACGUACCUCACCUACACCACCGCCAUGUCGGCAGAGCGGCCCACCACCCCAACGGGGUACUCGCAGAGCAACCCCAUUGUGAAAAAGACGUUAAGUGGUUGGGUAGGCAUGCUAUGCGAUGCCGCCGCCGCCGCCCCGCGGAUCCUUGAGCAGGUGCUUUACGAGAACGUCGUUCUUGGCGGCGGCAGUACGCUUUUCCCUGGCACGGAGCAGCGCGUGCAGCGAGAGAUUGCUGACAUCGCUCCUAAAGGGGUGCGGGCCACCUGCGUGGCGUUCCCAGAGCGUGGGGCGGCGGCGUGGAUGGGGGCGUCCAUCUGGGGUUGCAGCAGCGUCUUCCCGGACACGUGCCUUGCCAAGGCCACGUACGACGAGCAGGGCAGCAGCGUCGUGCAUCUUUACACACAGUAGGCGACAGCGCGGGGCAGAUCAGACGGCAGCUGCCGCGCCAUCCAAAGGAGGUCAUAAGCAAUACCUGCUUCCAUGUGCACCACACAAUCACACACCCACACACACUGGUCACUACUGUCUCACUAAUACGAGAGCAGCACACGUGUUGGCCCUUGCAGGCACAGCAAGAGGUAGUCGCCGCUCUAUUUCCCCGUCUUGUGUCCCCCGCAUGUAAACCACAUCUAUCCUUUUUCUUUUGGGUUUCUUUCUUGUCUUUCCUUUUUCUCUCCUGCUCUGCGAGGUGAAGAAGAUGCCAUGUGAUUGUCUGCAUGCAUGCGCGUGUGUGUAUGUAUAUGUCUCGAGCGCACAUACAUGCAUACACGAGUGCCGCCCCAGCCCACGGUGCUUAUGAACACAACAAGGAAACAGGAAAAUGACGAAAAAAGGAGGAGGAUGAGAAACAGUGGUGUAUAUCCCACGUUAACGCGGCGGCGCUUCUGGCUGUUUAGGUGCUCGCGCGAGUCGAACAGCUUUUUGCGUGUUUGUGCCCACGCAAGCAACGAGCAAUACCCCCUACAUCCUGCCACGCGCACAUGCCGCUGUGUGUGUGUGUGUUGGGGGAGGGGGUAAACGCUAUCGCGAGAGAGUGCGGAAGCGAUGCCAGGCGCACGUGCAGGUGAAAACAAGUGCCCUACUGCAAGGUGACGCGACGGUAGGAGUUUGUGGAGCUGCGAUGGCCGACGUGCAUGCUUUACCUCAGGGCAUGUACUGUCUUCCUCCACCUUGCUUUUCGCGUACCACCUUCCUCGGCUUUGGCUUCGCUAUGCUCCCCCCCCCGUCUCACGAGGGUCCGCUUGGUCCUCUCCUCUUCUCUCUUCUCUGCUUUCGCGGGUGUUUUUCUAUUCUUAUCAG